rnacentral:miRNA from 3 species
UUUAGUGUGAUAAUGGCGUUUG